rnacentral:rRNA from 1 species
CAAUAGCGUAUAUUAAAGUUGUUGCAGUUAAAAAGCUCGUAGUUGAAUUUUUGCUUGCCGCCGAUGUCGGAACUUCCGUACGUUCGGCGGCGUGCAUCCUUGGGUGGAACCUGUGUGGCAUUAGGUUGUCAUGCAGGGGAUGCUCAUCGUUUACUGUGAAAAAAUUAGAGUGUUCAAAGCAGGCUUAUGCCGUUGAAUAUAUUAGCAUGGAAUAAUAAGAUAGGACCUUGGUACUAUUUUGUUGGUUUGCGCACCGAGGUAAUGAUUAACAGGGACAGUUGGGGGUAUUCGUAUUCCAUUGUCAGAGGUGAAAUUCUUGGAUUUCUGGAAGACGAACUACUGCGAAAGCAUUUACCAAGGAUGUUUUCAUUAA